rnacentral:lncRNA from 1 species
UCCUGCAAAUUUAGUUCCCAAUGCAUGAUAUGCUAUGUGUUUCUCAGUUACAGAUAGGAGCUGAUGAGGAGCAUAACAUCCGAGGAGGUCCAAGAGAUGCAGCCCUACUGCUCUUCUACACAUGGGCAGUAAGAGACAACUGUGAAUGGGAAGACAGAAAGUGAUAACUGCAUUCUUCUGUCCCACCCACUGGACUUCCAAACACCAUGGGAAUAAGGCAGUGUGGCAGAGGCUUCUCAUGGGAUCCCAUCAAACGUGGAAGACAAAACAGCAGGUAUUGCUUCAGAUAAGAGCAGUAGAAGUGUUCGGUGCCACUGCUUGCUGUGAUGGUCUUUUGGUCUAGGAUGACAGCAAAUGCAAAUAUGCAAUUUUAUGAGAUACCAAGACAGACUGUGAGCGGUUGGAAUGGCUUUUUAAAAAAUUUAAAUUGUUCUCAGCUGGGUAGAACUGAGCUAGAUAAAGAAUCACCCUGUAACAUCUGAACAUGUAUUAAUCAAAGAAAGAAAAUGUUGACUUUUAAAUGAAUGCAAGGAACUGGCAUCACUUUUCUCAAUGAGAAAA